AUCCAGAAUAGUUAUCUCUGAAAGCCAUGUGUGAUCCAAAUGGUUUGAGUGUCAGUUCUUGGUAAUCAGUUAGUCAGAAAGGAUUACCAUCUGCUGACUUGUUGGUCUACCAAAGACUGAUGCUCUCCAAGACUGCAGGUGACCUUGACCAGGAUUAUCUCACUGAAGGCUUGCUGGGAGGACUGACCAAGCCUCAGUGUGAUAACAUCAGUGCUCCUCACCUGAAAGCAGGAAGUGGAUUGCUCUACUAUUGCCAUAAGAAGGCACCGACUUUGGAAGCAGAAACUCGUUCCUCUUACAAAUUUGCAGUGUAUUCUCCUUUUUUCCAUUCUAUACCAUUGAGCGUGUUGACGGAGACGCUGCUGUUGGCUUAUUCCCUACCAUCACAGCAGACGCGGACAGGAGGGAAAAAUCUUUGCUCAGUUUUUUGUUAUGAGCCAUCUUCAUCCAUGAUACGACAUCUGCACUACGGUAUUCCCCCUGAAUGA
rnacentral:lncRNA from 1 species